rnacentral:rRNA from 1 species
AUUGAACGCUGGCGGCAUGCCUUACACAUGCAAGUCGAACGGUAACAGGGAGCUUGCUCCGCUGACGAGUGGCGAACGGGUGAGUAAUGUAUCGGAACGUACCAUUCAGUGGGGGAUAACGUAGCGAAAGUUACGCUAAUACCGCAUAUUCUGUGAGCAGGAAAGCAGGGGAUCGCAAGACCUUGCGCUGAUUGAGCGGCCGAUAUCAGAUUAGCUAGUUGGUGAGGUAAAGGCUCACCAAGGCGACGAUCUGUAGCGGGUCUGAGAGGGAUGAUCCGCCACACUGGAACUGAGACACGGCCCAGACUCCUACGGGAGGCAGCAGUGGGGAAUUUUGGACAAUGGGCGCAAGCCUGAUCCAGCCAUGCCGCGUGCAGGAUGAAGGCCUUCGGGUUGUAACUGCUUUGUUACGGAACGAAAGAACUCUUCUAUAAAAGGUCAUGAGGUACCGUAAGAUAAGCACCGGCUACUACGUAGCCG